UUUGGCGUAGAUGUUCUUAAGGAUGUUGAUAUUUGGUAACGCCAUCAGGAAAUGAUCCGCAAGCGCAUGGAUAUUAGUGAGCAUUUCACCCGAGAGUUUAUCUAGAGUAUUGUAUUUAUAUUUUUACCACUAGGAGAAAGCGUGCAUCUGACUAACUAAAUCUAUUGCUACUACCCUUUAGGCUACAGACAAUGUGAUUCGAUGUGAGCGAUGUGUAGAGAAGACUACAACCGUACUCUCGUUCUAACCUUGGUAAGGAUGACCUACUGUUCUAUUGGGGAGGCUCACGGACUCUAGACACCACAAAUGAUGUUCGACCCGCACCUAUAAACCCUAUCGAUCCAGCUAACGGGAUGUGGGCUACAAAGGUAGCUCGGAAAUGUCACGUUCCUUCCUACUACCACGGUCCGGCUAGACAGGGGAUAUCUAUGAGUACCCUAGCCCAAACACCACGUUUACGCUAGCAAUGAUUACUCUAAACUCAACCGGAAGAGAUUAAAGUAAACUCAUAAACCAAAGAACAAUAAGAACAAGAACUUACUAGAAUUUAGAAGUCAAAAUACUGAAGAACCCUAGGAGCAAGCCUCGGGUUAGGAACUUGAUCCCGCAGGUACAACCUCGGAGUGGACACCGACAGGCCGGGCUUCCUCCAAUCUACACCUCCACUCUAUCUCUCUCAAUCUAGUAGAACUAAUUCUACUCUCACAUUGGAUGCUAAGCCCUAUGAGGUUGGAUCCCUAGAGGGACCUCUCUCUUUGAAUCCUCUUUGAAAAAUAUGCUAAUGAAUAAUGGGAUUGCUCUCCUCCAGGGGCCAGGGGCUGCUUAUAUAGUCCCCUCAAGUGAACGUGGGCCGUCGGAUCAAACCGACAUUGAUUGAACGGUUCUCCUUGAUCCUUUAGGUCGGUGGAGCAUAAUCCGCGAGAUUGAUCGUGAUUGGUUGAAACACCAAGGCGGGCGCCCAAGGGGGAGGGCGGGCGCUCUGCCCUCGGGCCCGCUCAGCCUCCCGUUCGUUUCCGUGGCUUCUGGAGUCUUCUAGAUGAUAGAAAAUUGCGCAACACGCUAAUAUCUCUAUGUAAACCCGACAUGUGGGCCUUUCCUCCAUAUUUCCUGAUAACCCCCUACAGAAAUAGACAAACACCAAAACUCGUGGAAUUAUGUCAGAUAAAAUCCAAAGUCUGGAUGUUGGUUGCAUUUGGAUCCUUUUCUUUAUUUAUUUGAUGAUUAUAUUUGGUACUGAAGGACUAUCAACAACUCCCCCAUGCUUACCUCUUGCUCGUCCCUGAGCAAGGAUAUACUCAAGAGUUUCAGUAGUGGUUUCAUGCCUUAAAAGUACACAUGCGUUCAAGCAAGAUCUCAUCUCUGAGUUAGAGUCAACUGUUAAGACUUAAAACUUACUCAUUUUACCUUUUACCAUGGGGCUUGCAACCGUCACUUGUGUCUUGAGUAGUUAAAAGAUAGAACAGUCAAGUCAAGCGUCAUGUCUCUUGUUCUUGGAUUAACUAUAGCUCUGGAGUUUUUGCAGAUUUUCAAAUAAAACUCAGAGAUUCUUUGUAUGACUCUCUCAAAUCUCUCUUUUGUGGUAUUUCUAGAUCCUUUCCAAGGCAGUAAUGGUAUAUGCCUUCUCUCAAAGUAUGUGGUAUUUUUUGUAUGAGGCAUAGUGAUAUUGCCUUCUCUCUCACCCUACUCUAAUAAGGUUUUGAUAUCUGGAGCUCAUAGGUGGGAGACAGAUAAUACAUACUUACAAGACAUUUAUUGCAUAGUCAAACCAUGGAUCUAGAGAAACAAGUCAAUAAGUCAAAUUAAGAUUCUGCAUGUGUGGCGAGUGAAUGGUGUAUGGUGAUAACAAUUGUGAAAGUCUAAUUCUACUUUUUGCUCUUUUAAGAGAUACAUACCUUUCUUGCUCUUUUGAAACUUUUUGAGGAGAAUGAGAUGCUCUAUAUUUUCUUUUUCUUUCCUCUCAGGUGGGUAUCUUGUCCCCCUAAUUCUACUGUCGGACACUUGUCCAUUUUUACCUCUCGUCUCACUUUUUCUUUUCUUCGAGGUUCCGGGCACUUGCCCCUUUUUAUUUCCUCGUAUUCUUUCUCUCUCUUUUUUUAUUUUUUUUCUUUUUUUAGAGAGCACUCAUCUCCUGAAAUAAUAUAGCAAGUGGUAGUAACCAAGAUAACUCGAGCAUUUAUUUCAUAGGGAAAAACAGAAAUAGGAGAAUGUUUUUGGCUAUUCUCUCCCGGAUUAGGAGUAGAAUACUUUUGGGUGGCUCUAGAGAUGGAAAUGAGUGGAUAUAUGUGGAUGCGUACUUCCGGAGUAGAAGCAGCAUGUGCGAGUGAACGUGCAAGUGAAUCUUGAUUUUAACCGCAUGACAAGCUCCUAAUGGUCUACACAGCUUGACCACACUGAAUGCUCAUAAGCAGUAAAAAGUAAAUGUGUGGCUCAAAGUCUAGCAACCAUGUAUAUAUGGCUGUGGUAGGAAUUUAAACUCUCAUCAUACAGGAACUCAUCAUGUGUUAUUUUAAAGAUUUUCAAAGAUAAAAUUCUCCAGAAUUCUAGCAACUCUAGGAACAGAUAAACAGCGGCUUAAUCUUUCCAUAUCAUAUCCGUUAACGACUUAGACUUUAGAUCAAGUACUCUUCCCACAAGUUCAGGUUUAGAGCAGGUUUAAAUUAUAACAGUUAUGCCUAAACUUGAUAGAGAGCUCAAACUUGAAAACUAGGUACAUGGCAGAGCAACUAUUUAUCAUAUCCAUGUAAGAGUUUAUCAUUUAAGUUCAGUUUGGCCUAGACACUUUAUUUAUUUAUUUAGCAAACUAAGCAAAGAUAUAUAAGCACAAAAUUUUUAUUUGGGUUUUCAUGAUUAUGCAUCUUUUUAUUAUUUGAGUAAAGUAUAAACGUGAGUAGAAACACUUAGCUGGAUAAAUGGGGGUGCUCUCCCCCAAGCUGGAUUUUGACAUAAUUUCUUCUGAUGUAGCUAGCAGGUGAUAGAGGUGUAUUUGAAUGUCGGCAGCACACUAACAGCGAUUACUAUGUCCUCCGCCGGCUUGUCUUCUUUGAUCCUUAAAUUCUGUGGAGCUCAAAUAGACAACAAAGCUUUGUGGAACUGGUUAAGUGUUAGCAUAAAAUCUCUUAGCCUUUAUCAUACUGAGAUUCCUCCUAAUAAAUUUUAUUUAUUUAGCAGGAUCAUGCACUUAUUAUUUUUAUAUUUUUAUUAUAAGAUGAAAACAUAUUUAUUUUAUCCACCACAGUCAAUAUACCUAUGGAGUUUAAACCACAAGUCUACUCACAUGGGGCUUUAGAUUUUAUGAUGCAGUGCAAUGAACAAAUAUUUUUGUUUUCUUUUCUAAUGCUAAUGUGGAAAAGUAAAUAUGCUAAUGCAAGUGAUGGAAUAAAAAGGAAAAGGAAUGCAGAAAAGAUAAAUAUGGAUAAAUACCGAUUUUACCUUCCGGCAAUGAUCCAAUGUUUUAAGUCUUGUGGACAAGACUUCUCACCGUGUUCAUCCUUUAGGUGCAUCAUUUGAUUAGGUGUGGGCCUUAACAUCUGCACCUCUUGAUACGGUUUCACCCAUGUUCUUCGUUUGUCCAGCAUUUCGACAUGCGGCAUUGGCAGCAUUUUGCUCAGUGUGUUUGUGGUCGUAGAUCCAAGUCCUUUACUUGGUGGAAUCUGGGAGUUAUAAAACUCCUUCAGGUUUUGCUCGAAGUGUACCUUGAAAGCCCAAGUUUGGUUUUGGUAAUUAAUGACACCAAGUUGCUAAUGCCUUGUGUUUAAGUGUUUUGAGUUAGGCAUAGCAACGUAUGUGAUGAAGAUGCAUGGUGGCAUGGAAAGGUGGCCACAUGAUCACAAAGGGAUGAAGCAUGAAUUGAAGAUCAUGGUGAUAGACGAAGAGCAAGGUUAUCAAGGCAAAGGUAUAAACAUAGGGUUUUACUUUUGCCGGUCUAAGAUGAGUAGAGAAGUAAUUGACCGGGUUUAGGAUAGAUAGCCGACUAUCAAGAGGGGAAAUCACGGUUAUCUCUCGAAUCAAGUGCUACUAGGUCUACAUCUUGAGCAUAUGCAUUAGGAUCUAGUAAAGUGCUAACUUAACUCCUUUGGUGAAAAUGUUUGUGAAAAGCUAACACACUUGCACUUUGGUGGUGGACACUUGUUGG
rnacentral:lncRNA from 1 species